CAGGUUCGAGUACCGGACAUGGCCCAAAUUCUUCUGGACGCUCUGGUCGACGCUGACGAUUCUGAUGUUGGGAAGCAUAAAAUGCCAGGAGAGAGCACAGCUCCGCUGCCACCAGAAACACUCAACCAGCUGGCAUCGAAUUGCAUUGCGGUAUUCGUUGGAGGGUACGACACCACGAGGGUUGUUCUGACUAGCUGGUUUUACGUCAUGGGUAAUACCCGGAGGUGCAGCAGAGAAUGAGG
rnacentral:lncRNA from 1 species